rnacentral:rRNA from 1 species
GAUGAACGCUGGCGGCGUGCUUAACACAUGCAAGUCGAACGGAAAGGCCUCUGCUUGCAGGGGUACUCGAGUGGCGAACGGGUGAGUAACACGUGGGUGAUCUGCCCUGCACUUCGGGAUAAGCCUGGGAAACUGGGUCUAAUACCGGAUAGGACAAUGGUUUGGAUGCCGUUGUGGAAAGUUUUUCGGUGUGGGAUGAGCUCGCGGCCUAUCAGCUUGUUGGUGGGGUAAUGGCCUACCAAGGCGUCGACGGGUAGCCGGCCUGAGAGGGUGUACGGCCACAUUGGGACUGAGAUACGGCCCAGACUCCUACGGGAGGCAGCAGUGGGGAAUAUUGCACAAUGGGCGCAAGCCUGAUGCAGCGACGCCGCGUGGGGGAUGACGGCCUUCGGGUUGUAAACUCCUUUCGCUAGGGACGAAGCGCAAGUGACGGUACCUGGAGAAGAAGCACCGGCUAACUACGU